rnacentral:rRNA from 1 species
UACGGAAGGCAGCAGUGGGGAAUAUUGCACAAUGGGCGAAAGCCUGAUGCAGCUAUGCCGCGUGUAUGAAGAAGGCCUUAGGGUUGUAAAGUACUUUCAUCGGGGAGGAAAAACAAAACUAAUAAUUUUAUUUCUUGACGUUACCCGAAAAAGAAGCACCGGCUAACUCCGUGCCAGCAGCCGCGGUAAUACGGAGGGUGCUAGCGUUAAUCAGAAUUACUGGGCGUAAAGAGCACGUAGGUGGUUUUUUAAGUCAGAUGUGAAAUCCCUGGGCUUAACCUAGGAACUGCAUUUUGAAACUGAAAUACUAGAGUAUCGUAGAGGGAGGUAGAAUUCUAGGUGUAGCGGUGAAAUGCGUAGAUAUCUGGAGGAAUACCUGUGGCGAAAGCGGCCUCCUAAACGAAUACUGACACUGAGGUGCGAAAGCGUGGGGAGCAAAACAGGGAUUAAGAUACC